AUGCAUUUCUGGUGCCGGGGCCUCGUUGAUCACCGAAAAUGAGCCCCCAGGGGGAGGCGCGGGCAUUGCACUGCGCUCGCGUUGACCCUGCAGCUACCCCAAACUGGGGCAGAUGGGGCAUGCAAAUUGCC
rnacentral:snRNA from 1 species